rnacentral:rRNA from 1 species
AUUGAACGCUGGCGGCAUGCUUUACACAUGCAAGUCGAACGGCAGCACGAAAGAGCUUGCUCUUUUGGUGGCGAGUGGCGAACGGGUGAGUAAUGCAUCGGAACGUACCGAGUAAUGGGGGAUAACUAUCCGAAAGGAUAGCUAAUACCGCAUACGCUUUGAGAAGGAAAGUGGGGGCUCUUCGGACCUCACGUUAUUCGAGCGGCCGAUGUCUGAUUAGCUAGUUGGUGGGGUAAAGGCCUACCAAGGCGACGAUCAGUAGCGGGUCUGAGAGGAUGAUCCGCCACACUGGGACUGAGACACGGCCCAGACUCCUACGGGAGGCAGCAGUGGGGAAUUUUGGACAAUGGGCGCAAGCCUGAUCCAGCCAUGCCGCGUGUCUGAAGAAGGCCUUCGGGUUGUAAAGGACUUUUGUUAGGGAAGAAAAGGAUAGUGUUAAUACCAUUAUCUGCNGA